rnacentral:rRNA from 1 species
UACGUAGGGUGCGAGCGUUAAUCGGAAUUACUGGGCGUAAAGCGUGCGCAGGCGGUCGUUCAAGUCGCGUGUGAAAGCCCCCGGCUCAACUGGGGAGGGUCACGCGAUACUGAUCGACUCGAAGGCAGGAGAGGGUAGUGGAAUUCCCGGUGUAGUGGUGAAAUGCGUAGAUAUCGGGAGGAACACCAGUGGCGAAGGCGGCUACCUGGCCCACUCUUGACGCUGAGGCGCGAAAGCUAGGGGAGCAAACGGG